GACGAACGCUGGCGGCGUGCCUAAUACAUGCAAGUAGAACGCUGAAGGAGGAGCUUGCUUCUCCGGAUGAGUUGCGAACGGGUGAGUAACGCGUAGGUAACCUGCCUGGUAGCGGGGGAUAACUAUUGGAAACGAUAGCUAAUACCGCAUAAGAGUAGAUGUUGCAUGACAUUUGCUUAAAAGGUGCAAUUGCAUCACUACCAGAUGGACCUGCGUUGUAUUAGCUAGUUGGUGGGGUAACGGCUUACCAAGGCGACGAUACAUAGCCGACCUGAGAGGGUGAUCGGCCACACUGGGACUGAGACACGGCCCAGACUCCUACGGGAGGCAGCAGUAGGGAAUCUUCGGCAAUGGACGGAAGUCUGACCGAGCAACGCCGCGUGAGUGAAGAAGGUUUUCGGAUCGUAAAGCUCUGUUGUAAGAGAAGAAAGAGUGUGAGAGUGGAAAGUUCACACUGUGACGGUAUCUUACCAGAAAGGGACGGCUAACUACGUG
rnacentral:rRNA from 1 species